CCUACGGUGGGCAGCAGUGGGGAAUAUUGGACAAUGGGCGAAAGCCUGAUCCAGCCAUGCCGCGUGUGUGAAGAAGGCCUUCGGGUUGUAAAGCACUUUCAGUGGGGAAGAAAGCCUUGGGGCUAAUACCCUCGAGGAAGGACAUCACCCACAGAAGAAGCACCGGCUAACUCCGUGCCAGCAGCCGCGGUAAUACGGAGGGUGCGAGCGUUAAUCGGAAUUACUGGGCGUAAAGCGCGCGUAGGCGGUCUGAUAAGCCGGUUGUGAAAGCCCCGGGCUCAACCUGGGAACGGCAUCCGGAACUGUCAGGCUAGAGUGCAGGAGAGGAAGGUAGAAUUCCCGGUGUAGCGGUGAAAUGCGUAGAGAUCGGGAGGAAUACCAGUGGCGAAGGCGGUCUUCUGGACUGACACUGACGCUGAGGUGCGAAAGCGUGGGUAGCAAACAGGAUUAGAUACCCGAGUAGUC
rnacentral:rRNA from 1 species